CACAAAAAAAAAAAAAAAAAAAUCGAUUUUUUUUUUCUCUAAAAUAACUAUUUUGCCUCAAUUUCUAGGGUUUUCUCAUUCAACAUUUCGUUGAUAAUGGCUGAUCUCACAUCUAAUUUACGCAAUUUGGUUACGAUGGUUGAUGGGUUAGUGACUGAAGGUUCUCCUUCGCCUAAGGGGAGUUCACACAUCGGGAAAGAUUUACUGUUGGAGAGGGAUUUGUUAACAUUGAUGGACAUCGCAAAGCGAAAUGGGGGAUUUUAACAAGUCUUCCAUCAGCCGGAUAUCCAAAAUGCAGAACAAGGGCACUCUGAGCCUAUAACUGUUACUCUGGGGGCUGUUCUUGGCCAUGAUCUUGGACAGGGUGAUGCUGGUCUAAGUCAAUCAACAGGGAAGCAAACUCCAAAGCCAGGUCAGAAAAAUGAUGAACCUUCGACUGCUGGGUCAACUAGUGGUCCAAGGAAGAAGAAAAAGGUUUCCAAAGAUUCUUACGAUUCGUUGAAGAAUCCCAAUGGUAUCAUUCAUCUCGGAUUAUCAGAAAAUAGGCUAUCACUGGAUUUGAUUGAGAAGUGGUUUUUGCAAAAUUUCAUUGAUUCUAUACUUGGAAGAGGAGGAAGUGGGGGUUUGAGUAUAAUGGAAUUUCGACAUACCAACCGUUCGAUGGAAUGCCAGAACUAAAAGAGAGGAAAACCAGUUUUGCAAAUCAGUAUGAAACGGGUGUGUUCUUUUCCAUUUUAGAUUGUGUAGCUACUGCACUGAGGUACAAACAUGAACUCGUUUGACAAUCAUUUAUUUUUCUAAGCUUUUUGCUCCUCUGCUUUACUGUCUUUGAUUCUGGUCCACAAUGCUCAGGCACUUUCCAAGACAUUACUAAUACUGCUGCUAGGCAAAAAGAGAUCUACUGGGGAGAUGCUCGGGAGAAGAUAUGUGAAGCAAUUGAUUAGAUUCCUCUUAGUUGCCUUGUUAUAGGGAACCGAGGCCUCGGCAAGCUCAAGAGAUUAAUUAUUUUGAAAUUACUUUUUGAUUAUAAUUGAAAUCUACUAGUCUGCAGCGUUGAACCAUUUUGGUGUUUGGACUUCUUUUCUGGAUCUUAUAUAUUUUUGGCCAGUGCCCUAAAUUUUUUAGCAAAACCGAGAAGAGAGGGAAAAGAAAGAGGGUUAAAAAAUUAGCUAACCUUUCCAUUGGAGCCCAAAAUUGUAGAAUUUGGUUGCUAAUUUUGUAGCACCUGACACUAGCAUAUACUAAGCCAUCCACUGUUAAAUGAUUUCAGAUCCAUCAUCUGUAUUUAAUCAUGAGAUUAUCUUCCAUAAAUUGCCGUAAAGUAUAUGAUAUUUAUCUGUUACUCAUAGUCGUUGAAUAAAUUUCCAAUAAGAUACUAAAUCAAUGUGGUAGGGCAAUGUGAAAAUGAUAGGAUAGGACAUAACACUUGCAUUUAAGUUUGUUGUUAAAGAAAAAUGAUUGUUAUGGACAUAGCACUUGCAUUUAAGUGGUGUCUUAAUCAUUCAAUAAUGGAUUUUUGAUUCUUAGGCAUAUUCUCACCAAUGGAGGACUAAAUUUGUGGACCAAACCAGUAUGAAUCUUUGUUUAGUUAGCUGGACAACCAAAAAUGUAAAGCAAGCUAAUUUGUGAUAGAUUGAAGGUGGUUGUUGGUGUCUUAAUCAUUCACCUAUGGAUUACUGAUUCUUAGGAGUGUUCCUAUCAAUGGACUCAUUUUGUGGGCCAAACUGCUAUAAAUAUUUGGUUUAGCUGGACAAAAAAAUGUGAAGCAAACUAGUUUGUGACAGAUUGCUGGUUGUUGGGAUCUUUUAUUAGCCUCUUUCAAGGCAGAUCCAAAAUAUACUGUAAUUGAACGUCGAACAUCCCAUACAUGCCAUCCGAUCGCAUGAAAACAAAUUGUGAAUGUCGAAUUUGUUGUAGUGUCUGGAUUAUAAGAAAAUGAACUGAUGCUUUAUUUAUUUAUUUAUUAGGUAAUUGAAGUAGAUAUACCAAAAAUUAGAGUAUAAAAUAUGAGGCUCAAUGUACUUGCAAAGAGGACAAAAAAGAUGAUUGAGCAAGCCAUCAAAACAGAGCAUUCAAUUUAAGGUUUAGAGAAGCAAUGUGGAGAUGUAACCCGAUUACAUGUGGAGGUAACAGUAAAAAAAAUUUGUUGAGUGACUUGGUUUAUAUAAGGUGUGAUCAAUGCCUUGUUUGUAAAAAAAAAAACAUUUCAAACUGUAUAUACAUGUGGAAGAUUAGGAGUUUUCGUUAUUGAACUCUGAUUCAUAAUAAUAAUGUAUUGAGAAUCAAUGACAGGUAGCUAUUACUUUUUAUUCUAGUAGAUGUUUUGGGUAUUUUCAAUUGGAGAAAGACGAGUUAAAGACUUGAAAGACUUGGCUUCUUAUCGUCCUCAGUAUCACAACCAAGGUCUCUCGCAGACAUGUCGAUGAAUGUUACAGGAUGAUGGAGGAGAUGGUUCAAAUGAUGAGUAUGAGCCCAAUAGUAGCAGUGACGAUGAUGAUGGUGAUGGCUAGUUUUUGAGGAUUUUGAUGAAUAGAUUUCUAUAAUCUUUGAAUAGUUUUGGAUUUUGUUUACAAACUUAUAUAUGAUACAGUUUUGGAUGGUUUAUAACUUUUUGAAUAAUUAAGAACUUAAGGAUAGUCUUUUUGGAUGAUUUUGAACUUGAGCUUAGUUUUUGGAUGUUGGGAAUGUAUUAA